GACGAACGCUGGCGGCGUGCCUAAUACAUGCAAGUAGAACGCUGAAGGAGGAGCUUGCUUCUCUGGAUGAGUUGCGAACGGGUGAGUAACGCGUAGGUAACCUACCUGGUAGCGGGGGAUAACUAUUGGAAACGAUAGCUAAUACCGCAUAAGAGUAGAUGUCGCAUGACAUUUGCUUAAAAGGUGCAAUUGCAUCACUACCAGAUGGAUCUGCGUUGUAUUAGCUAGUUGGUGAGGUAACGGCUCACCAAGGCAACGAUACAUAGCCGACCUGAGAGGGUGAUCGGCCACACUGGGACUGAGACACGGCCCAGACUCCUACGGGAGGCAGCAGUAGGGAAUCUUCGGCAAUGGACGGAAGUCUGACCGAGCAACGCCGCGUGAGUGAAGAAGGUUUUCGGAUCGUAAAGCUCUGUUGUAAGAGAAGAACGAGUGUGAGAGUGGAAAGUUCACACUGUGACGGUAUCUUACCAGAAAGGGACGGCUAACUACGUG
rnacentral:rRNA from 1 species